rnacentral:lncRNA from 1 species
GUGAAUUAGAGUUCAGUCUCUAGUCUCUAACCCAUAUUAGUAUUUUAGUUGGGUUUUCCAGGCGGACAAUACAAAUUCACCUUAACUUCUCCGCAAGUAUUUGUGUCUCUUCCUUUUAUCUUUCCCUUUUAAACACCAAAUAAAUAUCCUCCUGCUCUCUCUUUUUUCUCUUCUUUUCUUUCUUUUUUUGUUUUUUCGUAAAUUUGGACCUGACUCUUAUGAUGAGAUCUUAUUAAUAUAAUUGGGUUUAGGGUUUGGAUGAUAUCGAUGCGUUAUGGCAGGAGUUGGAAUUCGGAAUAUAUUGAAGCCUAUCGUUUUUCCAUUCAGAAGAAUCCAAUACAUUAUUGAUCAAUAAGAAAUGACGCUUGAGAUUUGGGUUACAAAAUUAGAGCCCCACGGGAACAGACCCCUGUUUUUAGUUUUUGCAGAGGAGGAGGCUGGUGAGCCAAAAGAGUGGCAUCUCUAGGCUUGAAUCAUAACCCCACAGAGCUGUUAUGUUGGCCUUGAAUCUCUUAAUCUGGUAGUUUUAACCAAGAGCUACCGCUUCCCACAAAAAUCUGUAAAUGGAGAUUGGCAGGCAGAAGCUUCAGCCACGACGGAGCCCGGGGGGGGGGGGGGAUGGAUGUGGUGGGAGUGAAAUCAGCGGCCAAGAGCUUCAUUUGCUCAUUCUCAAAGGAGGGUGAGUUUCCAAAACUAAAACACUCUAGUUAAUUGUUUGAUAUGUAAUUAUGCAUGCUGCACUUUCCAAGAGGGUGGCAUGCGUUUACUUUCAAGGUCGGCAAUCGCAUCGAAUACUUUAUUUUCACUUUCAUUGUAGGUGUUAAAGAAAAAGACCGACACUUCCAACGUAUUAAAGGGACAAAUGACUGUAAACAUGAGAAUUCAAAAACACGCAUGAAAUAAUAAUAAUAAUAAUAAUAACAACAAAAGGCGAAGUCAAUAAAAGCAUGCAAAUGGCUUGAAUUGAAUAUGAAGUCUCGAUCGAUGAUCGCUACCCAC